rnacentral:rRNA from 1 species
UACGUAGGGCGCGAGCGUUGUCCGGAAUUAUUGGGCGUAAAGAGCUCGUAGGCGGUCUGUUGCGUCUGCCGUGAAAACCCGGGGCUUAACUUCGGGCUUGCGGUGGAUACGGGCAGACUAGAGGUAGGUAGGGGAGAACGGAAUUCCCGGUGUAGCGGUGAAAUGCGCAGAUAUCGGGAGGAACACCGGUGGCGAAGGCGGUUCUCUGGGCCUUACCUGACGCUGAGGAGCGAAAGCGUGGGGAGCGAACAGG